AAUCAGUAAAUCCUCGAAUAAGUUACUAUUUAGUAUUUAGACAUCCAAUUGUGCUCAUGAAUCAAGCUGAAUCAAGCAUUUUUUUAAAAAAAAAAUAAAUUGAUGUAUAGACCAGAGAAUUUGUGAGAUGCUAAAGAACCAAGUAUUAAGAAAAUCUAAUAAAGAGUUAAGUUUAGAAUAUAAAUAUUUUUUCUAUGAGUACUUCUAAUUCUUUCUACCA
rnacentral:lncRNA from 1 species